AUAUAUAAAAUAUAGAAAAGAGAAACAUCUGUUUUGUAAAUAUGAUGUGAAAGAAAAAAAAAUAUAGAGAAAAUAAAAAUGAAUGCUUGCUUGGAAGAAAAAUAGUGAAAAACAAAAAUUGAGUUGUGAAAUAAGAGUUGUGAAGGUUUCAAAUGAGAAAUAAAUGGAACGAAGUUGAGAUGUGUGAAUAAUGUACAGUGAAUGUCUCUUUUGCAUCGGCAAUUUCGUUUUCAAUGGCCUUAGAAAUGACCCUUGUUUGUUAACCUAACCAAGCUUCAACCGAAAAG
rnacentral:lncRNA from 1 species